ensembl:lncRNA
ACGGCGCCGCUGCCGGCCCGGCCCCAUGCUGCGCUCGCUGCUCUCCGGCUGCCUCUGUCCCCUCGCAGCAGGUAAGAAGAGCCCACCUGCUGAGGACAAAGUCGUGUUAACACACAUGAAGAUACUGAGCAAUGAAGGAAUUCAAAACCCAGGGUUAAUCCCAGAGGCUCCAGCUGACACAGCCUGCACAGAGGAGUCCCAUCUUCCCAGUGCCAGUGUCCCACCAGACUGCCAGCGUCCAGAUGCAGCAGCCACGCCAGCAGAUCCAGACUCUGUGGAUGGCCUGGCAAGCACUGACUACGUAGCCACCCUGCCUGACCUCAGCGCCUUCGAGUCCAAGUGCCGGCUUCACAGAUUCUCCAAAUUUGAAUCUGAGGACUCGGGGGUUGAGUUGCCAAGCGGUGCUAAUUCUCCAUCAACACCAACAGGCUCAGAGAAGAGCUUUGUGCUACACAGCAGAGACUCAUUUUGCGACUCGGGUGUGCUUAGCACCACUUCUUCUCCAGAAAUUGACCAUCAGUUAAUGAGAACAUGUAAUGAACAUGCCAGAAAAGUUAGCCUCCGAGAUCCAGAGAGCAAAAAGCAAGCUGAUUACUAUGGUCAGGAUGUAGAUGCUGUGCAGGAUCCUACAGCUUCCCUUGAAGACUUCAGUGGCCCUCAGGAAGGAAGUCCUGAUGAACAUUUUCACCAGGAUGACAAGCAGUCUCCAGAAAAGGAACCUACUGCAGAGAUGGAUCUUUCCAGGGAAAGCACUCUUUCCACCCCAGGUCCCAUAGAAGAGCCAAAGACAAUUGCUGACAAUUUUCCAGAGAAUUUUGGCAGCAUGCAAGACCUUCAGAUCCAUGAACAUCAGCUGAAGAAGUACCCCACAAGUGACAGCCUGGAUGAAUACAUGGAUGAAUGCUGUAGGCUGAGUGAGGUGAACCAAAGUAACAGCAAAGCCCUGGGAUCUGGUCUGGGAUACCUAGAACACAUCUGCCAGCUGAUUGAGAAGAUUGGGCAGCUUCAGGAGCACAACCUGCGUCUCCAAAAACAAGUGUGCAGCUUGCAGAAAGAGCAGAAAAUGAGUCAGAUAAAAGAGGAAUACAUUCUGCAGCAUUGCUCCUGUGGAGCUGCCAGUAUCUUCCUUAACUCAUAUCAAGACAUGAAAACAAAUUUUACUGGGAGGAGCAGACCUCACAGCCUCUUGGUUCAGACUGGAAACCCUUCUGAUCUUUCCAUCAUCCCAGAAAUAGGAGCGAACACCGAGAAGCUGAGCAGCUGCAAUGGAAGUGAGAGAUAUCUGCAAUCAGGAAAGAGCCAGCCGAUGAUGGGGCUCAGGAUGUCAUCAAACAAUAGGAACAACAAGGAGAAUGAGUUCAGAGAAGUUGGGAGUAUGGCUGAGGGCCAGGCUUUUCUCUCAAAGGAUCCUGCAGUAAGAAAGGCUCUGGACAUCAGCAAGAACAUCUCGGGUGAGAGCCAUGCUUGGAGGAGAAUGAGAGAUCUUAUGAGGAAGUCACGGCUGACAAACCAGAACAAGCUGGGGCUGUCCUCUGCUGCUCUGAAGAGGUCCUGCCCACAGUUGUAUAGGUGAGAGAAUGCUGUGGGGGAUUUUCACUUAGUGUUGGGAGGAGAUGGUAGAAGCUUUACCUCUGUUUGUUGCUGCCUGGAGAAGACCACUCCUUACCUUAUUUCCAUUGCAUAUGCUGGUUCUGGUUAGCAGUGUUUGCUUCCUUAGUGCCCAGAUGCCCCAGGAUCCCAACUGGAUGCUACCUGUGUAAGAGUCAUAGAAACAUUAGGGUCCCUAAAAUAAGGUGCUUCUCCCCAGUAGGUUAUGGGGAUGAUGACAACUAGCCAGAGCCAUUCUAUAGCCCAGUUAUUUGUCUUUCUGCUCCCUCCUAAGCAUUGCAGUCAGCAUUGAUGUUCUCUUUUUUCCACUUUCCCACCUUUCAUCCAGUGGGACAGAUCAUAUUGUGCCUGAUGUGUGUUGGGAUGGGACAGUCAGGAUCAGCUGGAUGGUUCUUGUCAGAGGAAGAAGAGAUGAAGUUUGCUGAAUGUGUGCUUAUGGGUUGGACCUGUUUGUUGCUGUAGAUGAAUAUUUAGGUUAAGUGUGAGGUCUUAAUUCCAUUAAGUGAUCCAUGCUGCUGCCUUGGGCAAGUUUGUCUACCAGGCUUCUUGUAGCCUGGCCUCUGAACUAAACUGUGUUAUGCAUGUCCAUCUGACAGUUCUGCCAGGUAUCCCUUGCACAGAUAUUCCCUGUGCACUUGCCAAGUCCUCCCAGCUAGUCUGGUGAAAUUGGAGUGUUUGUGUGUGUAAUCAGGUAACAGGAAGAGCCUGGGUACCUUAGUCACCAAAGCAGGAGCAUUACAUGGAGCUGUGCACCUCCCUGUAUGUUUUUUCAGCUGAGGUCUCAGUAACCUUCAGCGGAAGAGCUCAAAUGUGCUUAAGCCCUCCCAGUUUUAGAGGGGGUGAUGGUGGGGAAACAGCAGUUGUUUAAGCACUCAGGAAUGUCCUAUUGUUCCCCUAAAGACAGCCUGUACCUACCUUACAAAAUGCAUAAGGGAACUGGGAAUCUUAUAAUUACAGCUGGAGAAAAAAACCCUCUGCAAUACAUGGAGUGAUUUUUCCAGCUGGGAAAAGGCUGGUUGGGGCCCAAGCACACGUAACAGGAAAGCUUCCUCCUAUUGUUUGGGAAACUGAAAGAAACACAAAGCAGAGGGAGAUCAAACAGUUCCAUCUAAAAUAGAUGGUGAACCAGCUGGGGAAAAAAUACAAACUCUUGUGAACCUUCCUUCUAAACCAGAAUAGAACUAGCACUUUUAUUUGUGUUCAGAAAAGUUCUGUCUCUGUAACUUUCUGCUUGCCCCAUCUCCACAGCACAGAGGACAGUGCCAGCAGUCCCUGCAUAAGAAUUGAAGGCGAGGUCCUCCACUGGCUAAAUUAAUGUAUUUCCAGUGAAGGGUCAGCCCAAUAGCUCCCUAGAAAUUCUAGCUCCCUAGAAAUUAGUCUCCUAGAAUGAACAACUACUGCUACCAUGGAAAUGCUGUACAAUGAGAUGCCAAAUGGACAGGUUUUUUGCCUGGCUGUAUCCAGGCCUCUUCAGAGCUCUUGUACACUGAUUUUUGGAGGCUGUUUUCAGUAGCCGAUGAAUGUCCUUUUCUUCUACUUUCUUCUCUCGUAUAUCUACAUAAAACCCUUGCCUCGACUCAUGCCCCUUAUCUCCCUCCAUUUCCUUUCCUCCUUCAUUCUAGCCCUUAUUCCUGAACCCUAUCUGUUUUUGGUCUUGCUCUUUUUACCCUAAACCCAGCAAUAGCAGACCCUGUCCUUUUCACUAGUGUGUGGAAAAGCUGGACACCUUGUUCACGUGGCAGUUUGGAUAUGCAGUUGCCCUCAGGCUCCUGUGAAGUAAAAAGCUGUGCUUAGUGGAUCAAUGAGAGACCAGCAAAUGCUGCUGGACUGUGAAAGGGACCCUUUCUGUGGCAGUACCAGAAUAGUAAAACAAUAACAUCUCACUCAUCUGCAAAUCUUGGCAAAGCAAACCUUGAAGCCCUGCUACUCUCAGCAUUUAAAGCCACUGUCUUUGUUAUAAUUUAUGAAACAUGUUUGUCCUGGCUCCUGGUCCUGUUUGUACGUGCAGACAUAGGGAGUUGGCUGACGUUUGCUUACCUGGGCUUUUUUGGGCUGCAGGUCUUGCACUGGAACAGGCUAGAGCCUGGUGCCCUGUAUUAACAUACAGUUCUGAAGGAGUCAGAGAUUUGUUGCUUUUGACACCCAGUCCCACUUAAGUCAUUUGGGCAAUUAGAUAGUCUCUUUGUUUUCGUUUUGGUAACUAGGUCAAAACAAAUCCCCUUUCAUGUUCCUACUCUGUGUAUGAUGAAUGAACUGCUGCAGGGUGGUUGUUUUGUUUUUCUUUUCUGUCUCUCUUUUUUUUUUAACAUCCACAAAAGAAUUCUCAUAGCAGAGAGAACUGGGUUCUUUUAGCAGGAGAGAGGGGAAGCCUGCCAAGGUAAACAUACUGGCACAAGACUCAGUAGUUUGUCAUACAUUGUUCUAAACAGGCUCAGGUUUUAAUUUCAUUUUAUUUUUCUUGCUAAUACAUUUGCUCCUGCAAAGCAACAUCUAUUCUGUGCAAAGGACCAGAACAGACUGAUGACUGACUUCAUUAUGGUGUUGUGAACUUAAGCAGCACAUGGUCCUCCACUUUCCAGGGUAGGAUCUAAUGUAGGCAAUGCCCUCCUGACAUUCCAGUGCAGAUAUACCCAUCUGGGUAUCUGUGAGAGCUGUAGCUUUAAUGCAGAUGCAUGGGCAUGAGCUAACCUCAAAUACAGUGUUUUUCAUGGUAAAGAUGAUAGUUUCCGUUUGAAGCCACCAAAAGCUUGCUGCUGUAUGAUGCCUAUUUUGUGGUUAGUGUGAAGUAAGCUAGCAAGGACAGUGCAGUUCUAAGAUUACAAAACCCCAUCUUCAUUAUUGUGUAGUAAAUGUUGAAAAGGGCACAAGAACCUCAGACUCAGAUCUGAAUGAUGCUCUUCACAUGGAAGAUUAAUACUAAGGUGUUCUCAACCCUGCUUGGUGUUUCUUAGGGUUGAGAAACCACCAAAGAAUUAAAGAACAUCAAACCAGAAGAUUGGUCCAUUGUAAAAGAGCUAAGAGCAGAACAAAACAUAAAAAUUUACAACAUUUAGAAAAAACCCCAAUAUAGUAGUUCACAAAAUAGAGUCUGCACCACAUUAGUCAGGACUUUGAGUUGAAAAUUUUUCAAAUUGAAGAUUUGAAGUAAAUAUCUAUUAGCUAUUUAUUUUCUGUAAAUAACUUUCGAAUAUUGCUUUAAAAAACCAAAAAACAAAUGACAGCUUCCUUUUCUUAAACAGAACCUAUUUUAAAGAUGUGUCUAGAAAGUGUUUCAAAAGGUUUGUCUGUCCUAAGUCCUGGAGGCCUGAGCUAACUAAGUAAUUUCAACCAAACAGGAUGUAUUACACUCAUUUCAAUCAUAUGUAAUAAAUAACAUACAAAAAAAUAAGCUGGAGACAGUCCACAGGAGCUAGUUUAGUGUUGCUCUUCAAAACACUUCAUUUCCUACUUACUAUUUUAGGCCACAAAUUUUAACUUCUGUGUGAUGUUCAGCCACAAGUCUAUCCUCCAUCUUCCAGCUAGGCAGAAAAUACUGGUUGCCUGAAUAAAAUUAUGCUUGUGUCCAUCCAUUACAAUGUGGCUCAGUGCCAAGUGCUGCAUCUUGUGGCUCUUUUUUCAGAUGCUGCCACAACUAUUUGGACAGCAUCUGUUACAGAAUUUCAGACUGGAGAGGGGGAAGCUGCUUUUGGGUAUAGCUUAGAUACAUAUGCACAGCAUAUUAAUGUUAAGAACACAGCCAUGCAUUCUGGCCAGUGUCAGCUUCAGUUGUAUUUUUCCAUUUGUUAAGGCCAGAUAUUAUGUCUUCAGAGCUGAGAAAAACUGAGAGGAACUCCAUGAUUGUUCUGGGACAAAAUACAAAGAACGAAAACUUAUGGCCUUUCUGACAACCUGAGUCAAAUGGAGCAAGGUAAGAAAGUCAAGGCAAGAACACCAAAGGACACAAAAUCGAGAAUCCUGGGGUUACUCUGUGCAAUCUACAUCCUACAGUUGUCAACAAAGCAACUCUGAAUUGAGUGUUGGAAGGGAAAGAGGGAAGGGGGAUGUUGAGAAGGGUCUGUGGGCACAUACAUGCUCAACUAUGUAUGGCUUUGCUCCUGAAUAUGAAGUGUACUUUAAAAAGUCAAGCCACAGAUGAAACUUGCUGUUAGCAUCUUGGCAACACAACCAACAGGGACCUUUAAGAUUCGGAAAUUCUUCCUCUUCUCUGGGUUGGGAACAGAAUUGCCUGCAAUAUUGAAGCUUUUAAACUAUCAUUACUUUCUGGGCACUUCUUCAGCUGAAAUAAACAUUAGCUCUACCUAGAGGAGUGCCAGAGACUCAUUGCCCAGGGCAGAGGUGGCUGUUGAAAGGACAGCCUCCUCCCUCUGGGGAGCCCGAGUUGCAGUCUCUGUCCCUAGCACAGUUCCUCCCUUCAGAGCUGCCUAUAGCCAGCUGUGCCAUUUCACUGGAAUCCAACAGGAAAACAAACUGUGUAAAGCUAAGGUCAUUCCUGAAUCCACUACUAGCUUCCCAUCCUGUGGGCCUUUUCCUUCCACAGAGGUCCCUGAACUCUGGUGCUACCCUGCACAGAAGUUGGCAUUGUACACACUCAUUGUAAAGACCAGAGUAAGCAGCACUGCAGGAAUCAGCCUUCCAAGAGACUGGAGGGGCAUCCAGGGCAGCCUCUGCCCUACGCCCAGCCAUUGUGUAAUGAAUCUUUUUCUCAUUUUUUGAUGGGGGACAGGACACCAGGCUUGAAUUCCUACUUUUAAGGUCCGUUGAAGUGCUCUGUUUGUGCAGGUGGGGGCCUGAGGCUGUAGGUGGAGCAGUCAUGCUGCUGUAUGGCUGCACCUGCACUCUCUCUACUGGGAAAAGUUGAGGAGAGCAAGGCUACAAGGGAAAGAAAUUCAAAUACAUCCUUUAUCAACUGGUGCUCUUUUUGGAUACACUAACAACUGUGUAACAUCAUGACUGUGUGAUGGCUGCACAUGUCCCCUGUUUCCUGACUCAAGGAACGGGCAGUGCAAGCUUCUGAAUGUCCCAUGGCUGCAGCAGUCUCUGCACACUUAGCUCUUACUGGUACUAGCAAAAUAAUUAAUACACAUGAGGUAAAGAUUUAAUUAAACUAACAUUGCCUCUUGAUAAAGGAUUGUUCUACCCCAUAAAUGACAAUAUAAUUACAAGUCAAGCAAUUGCUGAUUAAAAAUCCUUCCCCAACCCCAACUUGCCUGAGAACCAAGAUUUGACAAGCUGGCAGGAAUGAUCAGCUUCAGCAGGCUUAGUCUUUCCAUAACAGAUGCUUCUCCCUUGCUCAUCCACAUCACUGAAACCAGGACAGGAUCUUUUCUGGGAUUUGGAGCAUCUCAGCCAUGCCCUUCCAGGACCAGUAGAAUUUGCAGGGGUGAGUGAGGGUUCAAGUACUCAGAAGGAUUGGUUGCUACUUUUGUUAGCAUCUCAAUAAAACCCCUCGAACACAAUGACCAAACCCCAGCAACUCAAACCAAAAUCCCCAUUAAAAGAAAAAAAAAGGCUGUGCUGACCCAAGGUUAGCACCCUAAAGUAGGUGCUGUGUUUAAUGUUUCAGCUGUAGCUGCUGCUGCAGGACUUGGUUAUUCACUAUAUAUCUUGCUA